GGAAGACUUGACAUUGUCAUGCAUAGAGCCAGAGCUGCAGUCUGUAGAGAGCAGGGAAGACUGGUCAAUAUCAGGCAUAGAGCCAGAGCUGCAGUCUGUAGAGAGCAGGUACUAUUUCUUUCUUUUUGAAGAUGACAUAAUAUCAGUAUACUAGUAUUUUACUAUAAAGUCAUGUCUGACAUCUAUUUUCAGAUUUCAUUGUUCACAUAACACAAUCUGUUGUCUUGCAGGGAAGACUGGUCAAUAUCAGGCAUAGAGCCAGAGCUGCAGUCUGUAGAGAGCAGGUACUAUUUCUUUCUUUUUGAAGAUGACAUAAUAUCAGUAUACUAGUAUUUUACUAUAAAGUCAUGUCUGACAUCUAUUUUCAGAUUUCAUUGUUCACAUAACACAAUCUGUUUUCUAAUAGCAUUAUUGUUUGUGUAUUAGAG
rnacentral:lncRNA from 1 species